rnacentral:rRNA from 1 species
UACGUAGGGGGCAAGCGUUAUCCGGAUUCACUGGGUGUAAAGGGAGCGUAGACGGCGACGCAAGUCUGGAGUGAAAGCCCGGGGCCCAACCCCGGGACUGCUCUGGAAACUGCGGCGCUGGAGUACGGGAGGGGCAGGCGGAAUUCCUGGUGUAGCGGUGAAAUGCGUAGAUAUCAGGAGGAACACGGGCGGCGAAGGCGGCCUGCUGGACCGUGACUGACGUUGAGGCUCGAGAGCGUGGGGAGCAAACAGG